CAUCCCUACGGGAGGCAGCAGUGAGGAAUAUUGGUCAAUGGACGAGAGUCUGAACCAGCCAAGUAGCGUGAAGGAUGACUGCCCUAUGGGCUGUAAACUUCUUUUAUAUGGGAAUAAAGGGAGGAACGUGUUCCUUUUUGUAUGUACCAUAUGAAUAAGCAUCGGCUAACUCCGUGCCAGCAGCCGCGGUAAUACGGAGGAUGCGAGCGUUAUCCGGAUUUAUUGGGUUUAAAGGGUGCGUAGGUGGUUAAUUAAGUCAGCGGUGAACGUUUGUGGCUGAACCAUAAAAUUGCCGUUGAAACUGG
rnacentral:rRNA from 1 species